CAGUCGCCACGGUAAUACGUAGGUGGCAAGCGUUAUCCGGAAUUAUUGGGCGUAAAGCGCGCGUAGGCGGUUUCUUAAGUCUGAUGUGAAAGCCCACGGCUCAACCGUGGAGGGUCAUUGGAAACUGGGAAACUUGAGUGCAGAAGAGGAAAGUGGAAUUCCAUGUGUAGCGGUGAAAUGCGCAGAGAUAUGGAGGAACACCAGUGGCGAAGGCGGCUCACUGGUCCGGUACUGACGCUGAGGUGCGAAAGCGUGGGGAGCAAACAGGAUUAGAGACCCCCGUAGUCCCUGUCUCUUAUAC
rnacentral:rRNA from 1 species